rnacentral:rRNA from 1 species
ACUGCUCAGUAACACGUGGCUAACCUGCCCUUGGGACGAGAACAACCCCGGGAAACUGGGGCUAACUCUCGAUAGGUGAAGAACUCUGGAAUGAGUCUUUACUCAAACAGUUUAAAGUUAUGCUCUUUAAACCGCCCAAGGAUGGGGCCGCGACCGAUCAGGUUGUUGGUGAGGUAAUGGCUCACCAAGCCUUUUACCGGUGCGGGCCGUGGGAGCGGGAGCCCGGAGAUGGGCACUGAGACAAGGGCCCAGGCCCUACGGGGCGCAGCAGUCGCGAAAACUUUGCAAUAAGCGAAAGCUUGACAGGGCUAUCCCGAGUGCCAUCCGCUGAGGAAGGCUUUUACCCAGUCUAGAACGCUGGGGGAAUAAGGAGAGGGCAAGUCUGGUGUCAGCCGCCGCGGUAAUACCAGCUCUCCGAGUGGUGUGGAUGUUUAUUGGGCCUAAAGCAUCCGUAGCUGGCUAGGUUAGUCCCCUGUUAAAUCCACCGAAUUAAUCGUUGGAUUGCGGGGGAUACUGCUUGGCUAGGGGACGAGAGAGGCAGACGGUAUUUCCGGGGUAGGGGUGAAAUCCUAUAAUCCCGGGAAGACCACCAGUGGCGAAGGCUGUCUGCUAGAACGCGCCCGACGGUGAGGGAUGAAAGCUGGGGGAGCGAACCGGAUUAGAUACCCGGGUAGUCCCAGCUGUAAACGAUGCAGACUAGGUGUUUGGACGGCCACGUGCCGUUCUAGUGCCGCAGGGAAGCUGUUAAGUCUGCCGCCUGGGGAGUACGAUCGCAAGAUUGAAACUUAAGGAAUUGGCGGGGGAGCA